GGUAAAUCUAGCUCAACAGGUAGAGCACCGAUCUGUGGAUUCGGUUGAUUUGGUUCGAGUCCAAAGUUUUACC
rnacentral:tRNA from 1 species